GUGUUAAUUCUGCAUUGUCUCAAGAUUAAGCCAUGCAUGUCUUAGUACAGACUAUCUCACAGUGAAACUGCGAAUGGCUCAUUAAAUCAGCUAAGGUUCCUUAGAUCAUACAAUCCUACUUGGAUAACUGUAGUAAUUCUAGAGCUAAUACAUGCAACAAGCUCCGACCUUCCCUGGGAAGAGCGCUUUUAUUAGAUCAAAACCAAUCGGUUCCUUCGGGUUCCGUCCAAUUGGUGACUCUGGAUAACUUUGUGCUGAUCGCAUGGCCACGAGCCGGCGACGUAUCUUUCAAAUGUCUGCCCUAUCAACUUUCGAUGGUACCUGAUAUGGCUACCAUGGUUGUAACGGGUAACGGGGAAUCAGGGAUCGAUUCUGGACAUGGAGCUGGAGAAACGGCUACUUUAUUGAAUUUUUGUAUCUUUUUUUUUUAUUUUUUCUUU
rnacentral:rRNA from 1 species